CAGUCGCCACGGGAAUACGUAGGGUGCAAGCGUUAAUCGGAAUUACUGGGCGUAAAGCGUGCGCAGGCGGUUUUGUAAGUCUGUCGUGAAAUCCCCGGGCUCAACCUGGGAAUGGCGAUGGAGACUGCAAGGCUAGAAUCUGGUAGAGGGGGAUGGAAUUCCGCGUGUAGCAGUGAAAUGCGUAGAUAUGCGGAGGAACACCGAUGGCGAAGGCAAUCCCCUGGACCUGUACUGACGCUCAUGCACGAAAGCGUGGGGAGCAAACAGGAUUAGAUACCCCUGUAGUCCAUGUCUCUUAUAC
rnacentral:rRNA from 1 species